CAGGAAUUCGGCGAAGUGGCGGAGCUGGGGCCCCAGCGGGCGCCGGGCGCCGCGGGAGCCAGCAGGUGGCGGGGGCUGCGCUCCGCCCGGGCCAGAGCGCACCAGGCAGGUGCCCGCGCCCCCGCACCGCGGCGACACCUCCGCGGGCACUCACCCAGGCCGGCCGCUCACAACCGAGCGCAGGGCCCCGGAGGGAGACCAGGAAAGUCGAAGGCGGAGCAGCUGGAGGCGACCAGCGCCGGGCGAGGUCAAGUGGAUCCGAGCCGCAGAGAGGGCUGGAGAGAGUCUGUUCUCCGAUGACUUUGCCCACUCUCUUCGCAGUGGGGACACCGGACCGAGUGCACACUGGAGGUCCCAGAGCACGACGAGCGCGGAGGACCGGGAGGCUCCCGGGCUUGCGUGGAGCCCGCAGCUUCAUCUCCCAGCUCAAACACCACAGCGGCCACAACAGCAGCUAUUGUCCCGGGCUCCCAGCUGAUGCCUUCAAAAUCACCUUCCACAGGAACCACAGAGAUAGGCAGUCAUGAGUCCUCCCACGGCACCCCCUCUCAGACAACAGCCAAGACCUGGGAACUCACAGCAUCUGCCUCCCACCAGCCGCCAGGUGUGUAUCCACAGGGCCACAGCGACACCACUGUGGCUAUCUCCACGUCCACUGUCCUGCUGUGUGGGCUGAGCGCUGUGUCUCUCCUGGCAUGCUACCUCAAGUCAAGGCAAACUCCCCCGCUGGCCAGCGUUGAAAUGGAAGCCAUGGAGGCUCUGCCGGUGACUGGGGGGACCAGCAGCAGAGAUGAAGACUUGGAAAACUGCUCUCACCACCUAUGAAACUCGGGGAAACCAGCCCAGCUACGUCCGGAGUGAAGGAGCCUCUCUGCUUUAGCUAAAGACGACUGAGAAGAGGUGCAAGGAGGUGGGCUCCAGGAGCAAGCCCAUCAGGCCUCUCAGACGUCCCAGCAGGAUCUCACGGACUGCUGGGUCGGCGCCUCCUGCGCGAGGGAGCAGGUUCUCCGCAUUCCCAUGGG
rnacentral:sRNA from 1 species